AUAAACUGGUGUCAUUUCAACUUAAUAUUACGCAACUGGUUUAGUUUAUCUUUAUUUUUUAGUUUAUUUGAUAGGAACACACCAAAUCCUUCUCUGAUACGAACCUAUACGAAUAUAUCUUUCCACCUGUAGUCUCCAAUGGCCUAACAUGGUCGACAUUGCAGAAAAACUACCAUGUCAAGAACCUUUUGACUAAAAUGUUUAUUAGUUUCAGUAACAUUUAUUCAUUCUUAUAUAGUUUUUAUUUAAUUUUACUCAACAAACUGUUUAUGGGAAGGUUACAACUUUGAUGUUCACCAUAUUGUUGAAAUGCAAACAAUUAAAGAUACUUAAAUUUCAACUUCAUUUGGUUGAUUUUAUGUUGUUUAAUUUAGCUUUAAAAAAAAAAAAGAAAUACUCAAAAUGACACAUUCAUACUCAAAAACAAUCCAUGUUUCCAGCAUUGUGUAGCAAGUUUUUUUUUUUUUUUUUUAGUGUAGACAAAACAAGAACUUGAACACUGGUACACUCGCAUGCAAACGGGAACUCAGAUACGCAAAUACAUAUGAACAUUUGACCUCUCUUGUAAUUUUUAAUAUGUCAUAUAAGGUAAGGUUUGAUCUUUGAGUAUGAUUGGUUGCUCAGGUCAUCCUGGAUGUUAUUGCCUGAUCUUGUGUGUAUAAAUAUGACACAUCUUCCUUCAAUAAAUCUGGUAUUACACAGGCUCUGUGUCUGCUUGAUCAUUCUUGAUCUGACUGAUAGCACUGAGGAUUCAGAUAGUCUACCUGAAAAUUAUAAAAGCAGGACUGUUUCUGGAAAAUCUUCCUCUGUGAUUCUGAAGGCAACAGUUUGAAAACCAAAGAUUCAUCAUGGCAAUGCUGAGAAGUUUUCUGCUUCUUUUCAUGAUCUUCUCCAUGGAGAAUGCAGGAGAAAAACUGUCGAAGUCUUGGUGCGAAUCUGGUAUCUGUGCGUAAUAAUAGGGAAAAUGGUUUCGUGCUGAGUCUGUUGCCUUCUCCUUCCACACAAUCUUGGGGUGGUGGUCAUGAUAGUGUACAAGAAGGACAGUGGUUGUGGAGUGAUGGAACGCCGUUUUUUUUAUGCCAACUGGUGCCCUGGAGAACCUAACAAUCAGCGUCGUGAGAACUGUUUGGAGAUCAACUAGACCUCUAACCGUUGCUGGAAUGAUGCGACCUGUUCAAAAUUAAAGAACUAUAUUUGUGUCAUGUGAGAUCAUAUGCAGUCAUCCUGUUCCACAGUUACUUUACUAUAAAGUACUUAACUAUAUUUACUUUUUCUGAUCUUAUCUUUACAAAAAUGAUAUUCUGAAGUAAAAUUUCUUCUAAACUUUAAUCUCUUCUCAAUAUCUUCUCUGCAACACUCCUCAAAUUAAUAAAAGCAUUGAUAAAGCAAAUUGUGCAUUGUGGAUAAUCAAAUUUAUGUAUAAAAAUAUACAUAUAUGUAGUAGGCAUGUGACGGUAUCAAAUUUUCAUGUUGCAAUAAUUGCUGAAGCUUUUAUCACGGUAUACGGUAUUAUCACAAUAUUGAAAUAAGUUGCAAAAAAGUGUUGUCAUACUAUAACAGGUUUAAGAAUUAUUUUUCUUAUAACAGAAAGAACUCUGAACAUUUAAAUACAAUAACACAAUACACACACACACACACAAAAAUUCUAAAGUAAAAUGUGCAAAAGAAUAAUAAAGAACAACAGGUAACGCUUUACAAUAAGGUCUCAUUAUUUAAUGUUAGUUAAUGCAUUAACUAAGAUUAAGACUGAGCAAUAGCUACAUUUGUUACAGAAGGUAUGAUUUUUUUUAUUAAUGUGAGUUAAAAAAAUACAUCUGAUCAUUGUUAGUUUUAGCUCAGGUCCAUUAAUAAUUACAACUUUUGAUUUUAGUAAUGUUAUUAAACUUUAACUAAGAAAUUAACAUUAAUAAUUGCUUUAUAAGUAUAUUUUUCAUUGUCAGUUUGGUAAUAAUGAAUUAACAUGUUUAGUAAUGAAGCCUUAGGUCAUCAAGUGUUACUGAACAAUAACAAAUAAUCAGAACAUUUUCAAUCAUUAUAGGGCAUGUUGUAGUCCAGAUUAAAAUAUAAAAAUGGUUUAAGUUUGAAAGUAAAUAGCCUAUUGGUGGAUCCAAAAUGGUCAAUAUUCAUAUUCAUGCAUUUUAUUCAUUUUUCAGGUUAAUCAUUUAUGGCUUAUGAUUUAUCAAUAUUACUUUUGAUUUCAUAUAUUUAUGUACUCCUACUCCAUAUAUUAAUCCUCAUCAUAUUUUCAAGUAUUUACUCUUUAUUGUACUCAUUUAUGGUUAUUCUUCUUUUAUCUUUAAGAGUACGUAUGUGUGCUAUAUUCAAUUGUUCAAGUGUCCCAAUGGGACAGGUCAUGUUGACACGUUUGUGGUUAGAUAUUGGACGCCUGCCAAGUACUGCAGAAGCAAUUGAUGUUUUCAGAAUUAGUUGCUCAUUUGAACUUGAUGUAACUUUAUAUCAAAAUAUGUCAGUUUCUAUUUCUGCAGACAUGUCAUAUUGCAAGAUCUGCAAAAUUCCCUUAUCUAUUUUUCAUCUAUCAUUGAUAUUUGACCAGUCACUCUGACCUAGCUGUUACACCAACUAUGACAUAAUGGGUAAAUCUGUUUGACCUUUUCUUAUUAGACCAAAACAUAAGUUUGAGUGGGAUGUAAGUUUUCCUAUGCUUAUGGUAUAAAAUGGACUGGGUCUUUGAUAGUUUAUCUUUCCUUUGCUCUUUUUCCUUCUCGCAUCUCUUCUGCAUCUUCUGCUUCUCUUCUACCUCUCAUUUCAUUCUGCAAAUGUCUUAAUUUUGUUCCUUCUUUCUCUAUAUUCUGAUCUUCAUCUUCAUCUAUUAGAUACAAUACUCUAGGUUUUGUUAUUAACUAUUAAUUACUUAUUUUAGUUUGUCUCUAUAAUUUUUAAUUAAUAACUUUGUUAUUCCUUAUUCAAAUUUGAUCUCUGACAUAAUCAUUUCUGGACUGCCUGGAUCUCAUUUAUCUCAAGUUUUUGCAUCACCUAUUAACUCUUAAAGUAUUAAAUAUUUGGUGCUGUGAUGAACAACAUUGCGAAUACAAAAAAUUGAAUGGCUGUUUGAAGCAUUUUAAUUACUGUUCAGUAGCGCAGCUGCUUUGUUUCCGGGGUAACCGCUGCACUUCUGCUGUUCCAUCAGCACCCUCUGCUGUCAGAGAGUGAAUGUGCACUUUUAUUCAGCGCGUCUCCUUCACUCGUUCCGCCAUGUGCUUCAUAUGCAUGUCAGGCUUGUUUACAUCUGAGUGCGCAUGUUCUUUUGACGCAGCAUACAGCGGUGUUGUGCAUUUUAUACGGUUGAUGGGUAAAGUAUUCUUAAAAUGUAUUCCUACAAUGGAUUGUAAGCAAAUAUGGACCCCAUUUUUUGUUUUCUGUCUUAUAAAAUAUCUCGGUGUGUAAACGGAUCAGUGAUUGAGUGAACUGUCUGAACUGUCAUAAAAAAAUUUGUUUCUUGAGUCGGAAUAAAGUAAUCUCCAACAUCAGAGAAGGAUUUAUCAGUAAUAUUUUACUGGGGCACUGUGUGUAUUUCACUAGUGUGUAUUUCAAAAGGGUCUAGCGACGCCCUUGGCCAGAUUUGGCAUCAAUUUUUUUUUUUUAAAUGAUCUGAUGAUAGGCUAAUCAUUUUAUUUCAGCGAUCUGCAUCAAAAUGCCAUUUUCAAGAUAACAAAUUGGUUUUAAUUGAUUUUUAUUUUAAUAACGUAGACUACUUCAUUUUAUUUGUACAUGGUUAUCAAUUAGUUUUGCAUGCACAAUUAUUUCGCCAAUUUAUUUUUUUUGAAAUGCGGGCGAUUUCAGUGAGCCAAAAUAUGAGUUGCAUGGAAGUAAAUCAGCGAAUCGAUUUCUGGAUCCAAAAACACAUUUGUUCAUGAACCAAACACUUGGCAUCAGCAUGCCAACUACUACUGUCCUAAGGACGCCCCACAGGUCGACAGCUGUCUCAGAGGAGAGUAGUAAAAUAAAGGUAGGAGACAUCAAGAUCAUUGUUAGUUUUAGCUCAGGUCCAUUAAUAAUUACAACUUUUGAUUUUAGUAAUGUUAUUAAACUUUAACUAAGAAAUUAACAUUAAUCAUUGCUUUAUAAGUAUUUUUCAUUGUCAGUUUGGUAAUAAUGAAUUAACAUGUUUAGUAAUGAAGCCUUAGGUCAUCAAGUGUUACUGAACAAUAACAAAUAAUCAGAACAUUUUCAAUCAUUAUAGGGCAUGUUGUAGUCCAGAUUAAAAUAUAAAAAUGUUUAAGUUUGAAAGUAAAUAGCCUAUUGGUGGAUCCAAAAUGGUCAAUAUUCAUAUUCAUGCAUUUUAUUCAUAUUUCAGGAUAAUCAUUUAUGGCUUAUGAUUUAUCAAUAUUACUUUUGAUUUCAUAUAUUCAUGUACUCCUACUCCAUAUAUUAAUCCUCAUCAUAUUUUCAAGUAUUUACUCUUUAAUGUACUCAUUUAUGGUUAUUCUUCUUUUAUCUUUAAGAGUACGUAUGUGUGCUAUAUUCAAUUGUUCUUCAAGUGUCCCAAUGGGACAGGUCCUGUUGACACGUUUGUGGUUAGAUAUUGGACGCCUGCCAAGUAAUGUUUUCAGAAUUAGUUGCUCAUUUGAACUUGAUGUACCUUUUUAUGAAAAUAUGUCCGUUUCUCUUUCUGCAGACGUGAUAAUUUAAGAGAGUAGUAAAAUAAAGAUAGGAGACAUCAAAAGACAUAAGCGUAUUAAACCAGUUUCCUCUAUAAAAUAUUUUAAUCCAAAAACACAUGACUGAAUGGUGUGAGGCACCUACCUUUUAUUUCAUGCAAGUUUUUAAUCAUCCUCAGUCACUACCUCUGCCUCAACGUUUUCUUAUUUUGGUUCAUUUAUUCAAAUUUGUCUAGUCUUGCCUUAAGAGCUUGUACAAAAUUUGCUUUUAACCCCUAUUUUUGCUGUUGUGCAUUGAUGUGUCACGGCAGUGCACUAGUGCUUGUCAAUGAUUUCCCUUUAGUGUUAUUGCACUUGUAACCCCUUUUCCCAGUGCUGGUUAUAGUACUGUAGGUAGCUAAACUACUGUACUAAACUACUGUCUUCACAUUUUUUAUGAGAGGAUCAAGAUCUUGGGCUUUCUUCAACUGCUGAGGUCUUGGAUGCUCAAGAGAACCCAACUCCAAAUGGGUGGGAAAUGCAUAUGCAUCUGGAAUAACAACGGAUGACACUCCAAGCUGGUCUACCAUUCGUGGAGAAACUUCAGGUGGCAACAACAGAUUGACUUUGACACACAGCUUUAAUUCCUGACAAAGGAAUUUCUUUCCACUUUUCCAGUGACUCCGUGGAACGGUUUCUCGACAAAAGAUCAGCAUCAAUGUUUUGGCGUCCUGGACGGUACUGGAUGGUGAAAUCAUAUGUUGCCAGAGCAGCAAGCCACCGAUGUCCAGUAGCAUUGAGUUUUGCUGUUGUUAGCACAUAAGUCAAAGGGUUGUUAUCUGUCCUUACAGUGAAUCUGACGCCAUAGAGGAAAUCAUGAAAUUUAUCUACCACAGACCAUUUAAGUGCCAAAAACUCUAACUGAUUGGACAGGAUACGCUGCUCUGAAGGACUCAGCUUCCUACAGGCAAAGGCUACUGGUCUUAAACCUUCUGGAUGCUCUUGAUUUAACACUGCUCCCAAUCCAUUCCUGCUGGCAUCUACAUGUAAUAUAUAUGGUUUGGUUGGGUCCGCAAAAGCUAGAACAGGAGCAUUUGUCAGACAGUGGAGUAACCUAUUAAAUGCCUCAGAGCAUGCGUGAUCCCACCUGGCACCAAAAGGCUCGGACUCUUUGAAAUAACAUGGUGACUUGUCUGUUGCAGGUUUUCUGUUACGUUGGGUGGGUGGGGUAAGCUUUUGUAAGCUCUGUCAAAGGUCUCACAAUAGCAGCAUAAUUGGCAAUAAAUCUGCAGUAAUACCCACAAAAACCAAGAAAGGAUCUCAAAGAUUUAAGAUCCGUUGGCUGCUUCCAGCGUUUCACCGCCUCAACCUUUUCCAGAUCUGUGGCAAUGCCAGCUUCAGACACAAUAUGCCCUACAUACCUCACUUGAGGUUGGCAAAACUGACAUUUGUCUAUGAAGAUCUUCAAGCCAACCUCCUCUAAUCGGUCAAGAACCUUCAGAAGGCAUUCUUUGUGUUCUUCCAAGCUCUUGCCGAAGACGAUUAUGUCAUCCAAAUAGACAAUGACUUGAAGAAGAUGCAUAUCCCCCACGGCUUUCUCCAUAAGCCUCUGAAACGUAGCAGGGGCCCCAGUAAUUGGAAAAACCUAACGGGACAUAUAAAAGCUGUCUUCUCCUUUUUUUCUGCCAUCACUAUUUGGUAAUAUCCACUUCGGAGAUUGAGGACAGAGAACCAUUUAUUUCCUGAUAAGCACUUUAGGGCAUCCUCAAUCCGUGGCAUCGUAUACUGAUCAGGAACGGUGCGUUUGUUUAACGUGCGAUAAUCAACGCACAUAGGAACACUGCCAUUUUUCUUCCUUGCUAUGACAAUAGGAGAGGCAUAUGGACUGCGAGACUCCUUCACAACACCAGUUGCCAUUAGCUCUUGAAUGUGGCGGCGUACGUCAUCAAUGUCAGCUGGGGUUAACCAAUGCGAUCUCUCCCUGAAUGGACAAGUGUCGCUGAGCCGGAUUUGAUGUUCGACACCUUUAGCCAGACCUACGUCCCAUUCAUGAAGAGAAAAAAACACUGCGUCGCUCUGCCAGCUUAUGACUCAGUCUCGUUUUCCAUUCCUCAGAAAUGGGUGAGUCACCAAAGUUGAAGAGCUUGGGGUCCAGAAAACAGUCUUUGUAUCAUCCUUCUGUGCCACAGUUACUGUAUCAGUAGCAUACGAGCAAGGACAGUGCCCACAGGCAGGGAGAUUUCUUUUAUAGACUUAUUCUGCAUCAACACAGGGAACUUUUUCUCAUCCACCCAGGAGGAAGGAAGUACAAAGGACUGCACUAACAUACCAGCUGGCAAUGCAAGAGAGCUAGGUGCCUCAACAAGAAGGAUAUCUUUGUCUGUCUGGGAAAAUUUUUCCACUUUCCAGGUGGCCAAACACUCUUUCCUAGGAGCCAUGGUGAGUGGACCCGGGCCUAGCCAUUUCACUUGUCCUACAGCAUCAUCUUUUACUUUCUCCUGGACGGAUAGUUGUUUCUGUUGAAGAACUUGCGAAAUUAUGGGCUGUAGCUUAAGACAUUGAGCAGACAUGGUAUCUGGUAUCUACUGACAGAGAUCAGCUAGCCGUUUGAACAAGUUGGCAUUCAUUUCAAUGAUAACAGGAACUUGGUCUGAGUUGCAAGGUUCUGGACAUACCAAGGCAAGUACUGACAAAGACCCUGAAAUGCCUAGGUCUUUGGGAAACUCAAGGUAUACCACAACAUAUCCUUUGUAUGGGUAGCUUGACUCACUCAGUCCCCAGAUGGCCAAGCCAUGAACUGAAUGGAUUGGUACAUCUGACAGAUGUUUGGAGUACCACUUCUCAAAAAUAAUUGUGACUUGCGAGCCACUAUCAAGCAGAGCUUCACAAGGAUGUCCACAAAUCUUAAUAUCUAUGGUAGAUGAUGGCCCUACUAGUCCCUUGGGAAUGUUAGAUUCUGGUUUCAAGUGUUUCACUGUGCUCCUCUUCACAUAACAGUUUCUCGUUGACUUACUCUGUGUGGAUUUGUUUUCUUCUUUAAGUCUUCAAGGCUUUUGUUGGGUUCUCUGAAGCACUACAUCUGGUAGCAAUAUGCCCAUCUUGACCACAACGAUAACAAAAGAAGUCAUCAGUAUCCUUAAAAGAUGAGCUUCUCGCUUGUAUAGCUGAGUUACUAGAAGUGUCCAUAGAUUGUGUCUUGGGCUCUUUCAACUCAUUAGCAGACUUUACUGCCAUAGUGGUCAAUUGAGUCUGGAGCUCUUUCACUUGCUUUCUCAGGGUUUACAAUUCACUAUUCUGAUCUGCUCUAUCUGACUUCUUUGCCGUAGUAAUACUACUACUGUUUACAAGAGCAGUUGGCGUAGAGCGCCCUUGGAUAGACAACUCUCUUACCAUUGACCACAAAUUCUUUAUUUCAGUGCAUAAAUCAGAGUUCUGAUUGUUCCGAUUUUACAUCCUGACUGAUCUGCGCAGUUCGAACAUGCUGUCUCUUCACAGGUGCACUGAGCUUUCUUUACCUCAGUCUUAAAAGCAACAACAGAAUAUCUGAUUCGGUAGCCCCUCUGAUGAGCUGCUCAACCCGCGCUUUGUCAGCUAACAUAGAAUCUAGGCCUCCUUUCUGCAGUACUUUGGUAAGAGAUCGCUCCACCCUUCUCAAAAAAGCAGAUAACAGCUUACCAGGAUUCUGGCGCAGCAGUCGAAAAGCGAAGUACAGAUCUUCACCUGACUCAGCUGUUCCAAAUGCACUUUCUAAAGCCUCUAUGUAUUCCAUAGGACUUGCGUCUGGAUGGGCCAUUCUCACAGCUUGAAUGAUCUCUAAGGCUGGACCCUUUAGACUUUCUACAAUCCUUCUCCUCUUUUCUUUGUUUGAGCAGUCACACUCUUCUAUCAUGAGUCUGGCCUGAUUGCUCCAGCUGUCUAACAUCUCUUCCCCUACAGGAGUAGCGCUUACACCUGAUAAGGUUCUAAGGCGACGUUCAGAAAUCAUUGCAGUACACGCUGUGCCAGCCAUGGCUACUCUGCUUUUCCUCAAACAAAUCUCAGAUCUUCAUCUUACAUCAAUAGCACAAAAAAAAAAAAAGAAAAAAAAAAAGAAGAAGAUCCCAGUGGUGCCUCCAUUUAUGCAACCCCUUUUCCCAGUGCUGGUUAUAGUACUGUAAGUAGCUAAACUACUGUAGUAAAUGUAACAUGGGAUGGGGACCUGUGUUGGUUUCAAAAUAAAUACUAAUAAAACAAAUAA